CCUACGGGCGGCAGCAGUAGGGAAUAUUGCUCAAUGGGGGAAACCCUGAAGCAGCAACGCCGCGUGGAGGAUGAAGGUUUUCGGAUUGUAAACUUCUUUUGUUAGGGAAGAUACUGACGUUAUCUGACUAAUAAUCCCCGGCUAACUCCGUGCCAGCAGCCGCGGUAAUACGUAGGGUGCAAGCGUUAUACGGAAGCACUGGGCGUAAAGCGAGCGUAGGCGGCAGCGUAAGUCAGAUGUGAAAUCCUAUGGCUUAACCAUAGAACUGCAGUGGAAACUGUUGUUCUGGAUUUUGGGAGAGGUAGGCGGAAUUCGUGGUGUAGCGGUAAAAUGCGUAGAGAUGAAGAGGAAGACUCAUGGCGAAGGCGACUUGCUAGAACAUAACUGACGCUGAUGCGCGAAAGCGUGGGGAGCAAACAGGAGUAGAUACCCGAGUAGUC
rnacentral:rRNA from 1 species